rnacentral:lncRNA from 1 species
GUGAGAAUGGAGAGAAUUGGAGCAUGGGGCAAAGGCAGUUGGUGUGCCUUGGGCGUGUUCUAUUGAAGAAAAGUAAGAUCUUAGUGCUCGACGAAGCUACCGCAUCGGUGGAUACAGCCACCGACAACCUAAUACAGACGACGUUAAGGGAGCACUUCUCCGAUUGUACGGUCAUAACAAUCGCUCACCGAAUAACUUCGGUUCUUGAUAGCGACAUGGUUCUGCUACUAAGUCAUGGUUAGUAGUACAGUAUGCUCUGCUCAUUAAGAUGGAUUCUUGGAAGUCAUUUCAUUUGAAUAGAUAAAAAAAAAAAAACAUUUGUUUUUGCAGGACUUAUAGAAGAAUAUGAUAGUCCAUCAAGUUUGCUGGAAAACAAGUCUUCAUCAUUUGCACAGCUUGUAGCAGAGUACACUGUGAGAUCAAAUUCUGGUUUUUGAUAGAAACUGGAUUGAAUUAGACAAUGAUGAAAAUUUACUAGUGUUAGUAAUUAGUAAUGUUUUUAAUUUGUAAUUGUGGGUGUUUUUCAUUGUUUUGUGCCAUUUUCUUUGGCUCCCAAUAAACGAUUUUCCCUUUUUUUUGUGGUCCAAUUGUUAUGUUUUAUGUUGCUAAAACUUUUCGUAUGUGUUCCAUACUUGUAUUAUACACAUGUGUAUAAACAUCAGAGCGAUAGCAGAAAAUUUUGUUAGAAUGGUCGAAAUUAAAUUGUAAUUUUUACGAUAGUAAAAAUAUAAUUUUAUUAUUUUAAUAGUCUAUAUUUUUAUAAUAUAUUUUAAAAAUUAAAUCAAAUUCUUAUAUAUAUUUUUUAGGUUGGUAUUAAAUUGGGAUGAAUUAAUCAACUCGAUUAGGAAUAUAGUAUGCUACAAUGUUAUAUUCUUGAACUAGUUUAUGAAACUUAUUUUAAUGAGCUUAAGCGGAAUAAAUGAUGUACUUGGUAGUAUGCUUUGCAUAGGUGUAAUUAUUGAGUGUUUUCAUUAACUUAUUUGUGUUGAUACUAAAUUUGUAGAAAUACCAUUAAGUUGAUUAUUCGGCGUACGAUUUGUUUUCCAUGCGCAAGUUAGAGUAUAUUAAAGAUCCUAAAUUUCGGUUUCAGUAUCCAGAGAACAUCUUGAACUCAACAAUGUUGAUGUAUUUACAUUUUUGAAUAGUUUAGCAUGUACCUAUCUAGUUAAGUCAUUGUUAGUAUAUCUUUAUAUUUAUAUGAACUUGAGUAUCAAAUUAGUAUUUAUUGAAUUUAAUUAAUAGUGUUAUUAUAUGCUCAUAAGUAAGUUAUUUGAAAUGUGUGUAUUCGUAUCUAAAUUAAUUGUGGUUGCCCUGAAAACAAAUGUGACACAUUGUAGCUCAGACCUGACGAUCGGGUCGGGUAUGAAAUGUUACACAAAGAGUACAAAAGCUUGGAUUAUAUUUUAAUAUUUACUUUAUAAUUUGACUAAAAAAUAAUUAAUAAUUAACCUAACACGAAGCACUAUAAAAUACGUACUAGUUAGUAUUAAGGGUUUUUCUCCUAGGUAAUACAAAAAAUAAUAAUUACAAAAAUGGGGCAUAUUGUAGAUUAUUUAUGAGAAUGAUAUACAAUAAAAUUAGGUGCCUCCUAGUGUCACGGGGCUAAAUCUUUCGUCUCACGAUCUGUUCGGCCUUAAGCGAUCUGUUCGCUCCAAACUCGCCUAAGUCAGCCUUUACUCCCAAAAGUGAGGAUUCCUUUAGAAUUCUUUUAAGGCACCAAUUUGUAUAGCGAAAGCGAUUGUGCCCAAAGAAGCUACAAAUGAACAAUUGAAAGCCAAAGAAAGAAUGCACACAAAGUGUUUAAGUAAAUGCUCUCAAUAUUCUCUUAUUCACAAAAAAUAAUGAAACAAUGAAUGAAGUCGGUACAAAUGAAGGGGACACUCUCUAUUUAUAGUUGAGCUCCCCCAAAACCGACGGUCAAUAUACAUUUACAUCGACGGACGAAAUUAACCAUAUCCCUUGAUUUUAGGGAUUAACAAGAUAUGUCAUAUCAAAUUAAAUCUAAUCUUUACAAGAUAUGAUUCCCUCAAUCUUCUAAAAUUAGUUACCAAAUUAACCUAAGUUAUUAUAUCUUCGUUAUCGGGCCAACCAGACUUCAAUCUAACAGGCUUUUCCAACAGCUUCUUGAAUCGGGUCAGUUCUUACAGGCCAAAUGAUUCCCAUCUAACCAAUAAACCUCAAUCGGAUGCAUUUGGUGCGAUGGUCACGGGCUUUGAACUGCGGCUCGUAACACUAGCACCACCUAUAAAAAGUAAAAUUUUAAUAAAAAUAAAUAAAAUAAUAAAUUAAAAACAAUAUUUUAAUCUAAAAAGUGGUGACCUAAAUAUUAGUCCAUUUAUUUUAAUUCAUCGUAAUUUGAUCUAUGUUUUCAAAUUUAAAAAGUUAGUUAAAUUAUUGAGUUUGUAUAUGGAUUUAAAAAACGGUUGGUCUUGUAGUAAGUAAUUUGAUGAUCAAGUUUAAUGAUAGUAAAUAAUUUUGCCUAACUUUUUAAAUUCAAAAACAUAAUAAAAUUAAAUUAUAAUAAAUUAAAAUACAUGGACUAACUUCUAAUUUUCAUAAAAUAGAAGUGUAGAAUUCGAAAUUAUACUACAACCACCCCAAAUUUAAAAAACAAAAAAACAAAGAGUUAGCACGUUGGGUCACUUUUUUAGAUUAAAAUAUUAUUUUUUAUAUUUAUAUUUAUUUAAAUUUAAUUUUACUAUAAAAUCUAUUAUUCUCAUAAAUAAUAUGCAACAUGCACAUUUUCGUGAUUAAAUUCCAUUUUUUUAUUCAUGUGUUUACCCCUUGGAAGACAAGUGUCUGACUGCGGAGUCCCACGUUUUGCAUUGCAUGGUGUGCUGAGUUGCUGACGACCAUGUUUUUUUGCCUUUUCUCUUUAUCUUUUUCUUUUAUUUGAAUUACAAAAAUAAAGUAAAACCCUCACAAUAACAUGAUUAACGCUAUUCGAAUUUUAAAUGGUUCGAAAAAUAAAUAUUUUGACAAUAACACACAAGAUUUGGCAUUUUUUGUUCUUCCACCAAGUGACAUAUAAUAUGAAUACGAGUCAACAACAUAAACAAUCGUUGAAAAGUGUUCAACUUAGUCCUCAAAGUAUGACUUGCAUUUCAAAUUCAUCUCUAAAGUUUAAAUUGUUUUAAUUAAGUCACAAAAAUAUCAAUAUCAUAUCUAUUAAAUUAUUCCAUUAAAUCAGUCAUUAACUUAAACAUUAAGGUAGCUCAAAUCUAGCAGUAGUAUAUUAAAACCCCAUAGGUCAAAUUAUAAAACCUUGAAUCUAUAUAUUAAAAAAAAAGUAAUUCUCUUAUAUUUUAUUGAUGAUUUUUAAAAAAAAAUUAGAUGUAGGCUAUUCAUGAUAUAAUUAUAUAUGCAUUUAAAAUUUUAUAAAAAUAAUUUAAAUACAUUUCAUAAUAUAUCUGAAUCAGUAUUUAUUAUUUAAAGUGAUGGCUACACCCGCAAAUGAAUCUUAAUGACAUGAUACUAAUAAUUUGAGAAUACAAUAAUUAUUUGAAAUAUAGGGAUGAAUUUAAAAUUUGAUCAAUAAAUUAGGAAUAUUAGUUGAAAUUAAGUCCUUCGUCCCUCGUUCCUGCUAAUUUAGUAUUUUGUUAGUUCUGGAAAACUGACACUAAAGUAAAAAAAGACUUUGAUAAUUAAUCCUAUAUUUUAUGUUUUCAGAGUAAAAAAUCACGUCUUUCCCCGAAGGGCAAAGGCCCCUCCAACUUCCUUUUUACGUCUUUUUCUGAAGUUCAGUACGUUUCCCUUCUGCUCUCUCCGUUUCCAAUCUUGCUGUCCACGCAUUUCUCUUCUCAUUUAUAUAUAAACACAAAGCCAGAAGCCUUCAAACACUAGAAACCAAUCAAAACUUUUAUCCAAACACACAAAACCCAAGUUUUUUCUUCGGCCAAAGCUCCAAAAAAAAUGGAACUUUUUGCUUCACAAUCAUCUUUACUAAUGAGUUCAGCUGCUAGUUUUGAUUUUCGACUAAAACCCAUUUUUCUUCAUGGGUUUUCUGCUUCAUUACACUUAGUUUUGUUGCUUUUAUUGUUAAUCUUGUGGGUGGUUAAAAAAGUUAGUAGGGAAGAUUCAAAGGAAAGACAGGUUUAAUGGUAUAAGCAAACAUUAGCUUGUUGUUUUGUUGUUUCAGUUUCUAAUGUUGUCUUGUGUUUCUUAAAUUAUUUUUAUUGGCAUACGAAUGGUUGGUCAGAGGAUAAGUGAGUGAGUCUUAUUGAUUAUGCAUUGAAAGCACUUGCUUGGGGUGCAUAUGCAACAUGUGUUUACAUGCAUUGUCAAUUCUCCAAUCCCGGUGAACAAAAGAGGUUCCCUGUUGUGUUGAGAAUUUGGUGGAGUUUUUACUUUUCAAUUUCAUGUUAUUGUCUUGUUAUAGACAUUGUUCUAUUCAAAAAACAUGUUUCUUUCCCAAGCCAGUAUUUAGUAUCUGAUGUCUUGUCUGUUGUUACUGGUUUGUUAAUUUCUAUGUACUGUUGGGGUCUUUUUAAGAAAUGAGGGUGAAGAUACCGUCCUUGAGGAACCCCUUUUAAAUGGAGAUUCUAGUGUUAGUAAUGGUGUAGAGUUGAGUAAGGAAAAAGGGGGUGAUACUGUAACCCCAUAUUCAAAUGCUAGUAUUUUCAGCAUUCUUACAUUUUCUUGGAUGGGGCCUCUCAUGGCUGCUGGCAAUAAGAAACCAUUAGACCUUGAGGAUGUUCCUCAGCUAGAUAGCCAUGAUAGUGUUAUUGAGGCUUUUCCAAAAUUUAAAAACAGGCUUGAAUCAGCUGAUAGUGAAGGGAAUGGUGUUACCUCACUUAAGCUGGUGAAGGCACUGUUCUUUUCAGCUUGGAAAGAUAUUCUUUGGACAGCUUUGUUUGCAUUUACGUACACGGUGGCUUCAUAUGUCAGUCCAUACCUCAUCGAUACUUUUGUUCAGUAUCUGAAUGGGCAAAGGGAAUUUCCAGUGGUAGUUCCGAUACAGCGAUUGAGAUUGCUGAUGGUAACUUCUCUUGGGAUAUGUCAUCCUCUACUGCAACACUAAAAGAUAAAAACUUGAAAGUUUCCCAUGGCAUGAGUGUUGCUGUUUGUGGUACGGUCGGCUCUGGCAAGUCAAGUUUACUUUCCUGUCUUUUGUGAGAGUUCCCAAAGAUAUCAGGAGCCAAGGCCCGCCGAAGGGUGGCUCGGAGAGAGGGGAGAGGGUUUCAGAAUUUUUUUUUAGAAAUGGGGAUGGAAUGAUUUUUUUGGGAAACUUUUGACUUAAAUAGGGCAUAGAAAAGGCGCCGUUUUCGCCUGUUUCCUUUAACAUAAAACGGCGUCUUUUGAUGCCAAAACCGAAUCGACCCGACCCGACCCAGCAGGAUCCGCGUGUUUUUGGCUGGGGGUCUAAUUCCGCCAUAAGUCCUUCCUAUUGUUCAAUUUUUUUCAAUUCAGUCCUAAUUACUCUUUUUUUUUUUUUAGAUUAUACCUUUUAUUUUUAAUUUAGUCUCCCUAUUUGCCUAAAAACGUAGCGUUUGAUAGGAUAGGGAAUAUUUUCCAAUUUGGUCCCUUUUUUUUAUGCGUGUUACAGUUUAGUUCCUUAUUUUAUUUUUAUCCCGAUUUCUCCCCUAAUAUUUUACUUAAGUUUCAAUAUAGUCCUCCUUAUAUUUAUGUACUUAUUUUAUUAUAAUUUAGACUCUUAGUUUCAUUUCAAUGUCGAUUUAAUCCUUAAUUAUUUAAUUUCGACCAUGAUUAUUUGUUUUUAUGUAUUAUUAUUUUUUAUUUAUUUACUUACUAUUUCUUUUUUAUUUAAAAUUGGUUUGUUUUUGUAUUUAUUGUGCAUUUUUUAUUUUUAUUUUUAUCUCCUUUUCUUUUGCCUUUAUUGUCAUUAUUUAUUUAUUAUUUUUUAUAUAUUUUCAAAAAUUAGAUUAUUUACAUUUUUACUUGCACAUUUAUUGUUCGUGUUAUUGUUAUUAUUAUUAUACGUUCAUAUUUUAUUAUGUGUAUUGUUAUCAUGCCAUUAUUACUAUAAAUUGAUAUCGCACUGUCAUUUACUAACACGACAUUGUUAUUUUUCAUAUAUAAUUUUUUAUAUAUACUUCCAUUUAAUUUUAUUAUGGCUACAAUCAUGUCACGAACCUUGCUCAAAUACAUUUACUCGUUUCUAUACUAUGCCCGAAUAAGCUAAAUACACAUUACUUUUAAUAUUGCACUCGUCUUUGCACGAGGCACAAAAAAGGAAAUUUUUUAAACCAAAGUAAUGUUCGUUAUCUUGGAAUUAGAAAAGUCGUGUUCUUAACUUACGGAAUAUGGCUUCUUUCUAAAACCAAGAUAGUCGAAUAUUUACUUUAAAAUAAAUAAAAACAGGAUUUAAGUGAUGAUCAAAAUGGCGUUCAUUCUUGUUCUCGAGGAUUUAAGGCAUUGUGUCCUAACUUACAGGAUGUGAUCCUUUCUUCUCGAUUAACUUGAAAUAAGCCUCCUUUUUGUAAAAAUUAAUUUAGUUAAAUAAUGUAUCAAAAAGGGAUCGUGUUUUAAAUUCUCUUCAAAUUUCUAAUUUUUGACAUUAAGACAUCAAGUAAUCAAUUAGGUAACAAUUUUGGACGUAACGAGAGGUGUGACAGCCCGAUUUCGACCCUAAUCAGACAUAGUAGUUUCGGGACCACAAAUCUAAGUCAAAAAAAUAUUUUAAUAUUACUUUGGGAGUUUACUAUGUGUGAAUUUGAUUGUGUGAGAUUUUCGUGUUUCAAUUUUGUUGUUUGAGUAACUGAUUAAAUAAAAAGGACUUAAUCGCGUAAAAAUAAAAAUUUAGGGGUUAAAGCUAAAAAUAUCUAUUUGUUGUUGUCUUUUUAUUUGGAAGGUUUAAACAUGGAAUUAGACCACUAAAUAGUUAGUGGAUGGCUAAGGACAAAACUAACCUUAUUAUAUAUAUUUAUAAAAAUUACAAAAAAUAUAUAUGUAAAAAAUAUAUAAAGAAAUUUAAAAAUUAAAAAUUUUCUAGAAUGAUAAUUUUGGGAUCUAAAUAAGUUAAUUAAUUAUUCAAAUUUAUAAUACUAAAGUAUUUUAUUAUUAUUUUGCUUCGAAUUUUUUUUCAAAUAUUUAUUGUUUCAAUUUUAUGUGCUCUAACAUGGAAUUAGUUAUAUUGUAAUAAGAUUUUAAUUUGACAUGUUUAAUUUUUUUAAUUUAAUUUGAAUAAUUUCACUCGAUUUGACUCGAUUCGAUUCGAAAAUUUUUUAAAUUGAGUUAGGAUGCUAAAAUAGAACUCGUCAACUCAAUUAAUUUAAAAAAAAUUCACUCAAUUCGAUUGAAUACUCACCCUUACUUUGAAACAAAAAAGUGAGACAUGAUGCAGCAACAUUACACCGGGCCAUGUCUGAAAUAGUGAAAAACUCUCAUGUAAUGAAAAUGGCCAAGUAACUAAAGCAAGGAUCCAUGAGCUGAAAUUCUGGAGAUCAAUAGUGAAAGAAACCUUAAGGCUACACCCACCUGUUCCUUUGAACAUCAGACAAAACAUUGAGAACUGUGCGUAGGAGUGAGUAAAAUCCGAUUCGAUUCAAAAAAUUUAAUGAAAAAUUCAAAUUUUGAAUUAAAUAGUUCGAGUUAUUUGAGUUAAUCAAGUUAUUCGGAUUAACUCGAAUAAAAAAUUAAGUUUUUUGGUUUAACUCGAAUAUGAAUUACACAAUUCGAGUUAUCCGAAAAUCCGAAUAAGAAAAAACAAAAUUAUGUUGUUUUGAUAAAUGUUUAUUUUUUAAAAGUUAAAAUUCAAAAUAAUUAAAUUAAAAGGCAAAACUACUUUGUUUUGAUAAAUGUUUACCCAUUAAGUUAAAAGGUAAAAUCAUUAUAUUGUUCAUGUAGUUAAAUAAUCUUGUAAAUUUAUCUACUAGUUAAAUAACCGGUCCAUCUAAACGCAACAUUAAGUAUAAAUAAUAGGAUUCGUUAAUUCGACUCGAUUUGACUCGAUUCAAUUCGAUUCGAAAAAAUUUCAAAUUGAAUUCGGUUGCUAAAAUAGAAUUUGUCAACUCGACUAAUUCAAAAAAAUUUUACUCGGUUUGACUCGACUCGAUCGAAUACUCACCCUUAACUGUGUAAUCAAUGGCUAUGGCAUCCCUUCAAAGUCCAAUGUUCUCAUUUAAUGCACGGGCCAUAUAAAGGAUCCUUGUUGUUGGGGAAAAGGUGAAGUGUUUUGGGUGAGAGCACCUCUAUUGGUGGUUUUAAUGGAGGAAAGCUUGAGUACAUGUAUAUGUAUAUGCCAUUUGGUGGUGGGGAAGCCAAAAAAAUUGUUUGAAUGAGUAAAAAAAUUGUUAGAAGGAAGAAUGAUUUGGUCUUAUUCUCGUACCUUAUUCUUUUUCAUCCAACUAAUAGGGUUCUGUAGAGGUCUUUGUAUUAUAGCAUGGAAUGCAUUUUUAGUUUCUACAAGUAAAAUAUUCUCUUACGCUAGAAAUACAUGCAAAAUGAUCAUUUAUAUAACAAUUGAAGGGAAAAAAACAGUUAGUUUUAUGAGGUGGAAUUAAUUAAUGAUGUGGUAUUAAUUUAAGAUAUGACGUGAAAUGUUCACUUUUGUCUUUUGUACCUUAAUUCAUUUUGAAUGUAACAAACUCAAAGUGCUUACUUCAAACUAUUAAAAGUAAAAGAAGCCAUUUGCUUUAUCUAAACUUAAGUAUUGUAAAAUCUCCUUAGGAAUCUCCUAAAAAAAUUGGACACCUUCCUUAUUACCAGAAAUCAAUUUGGCGAUCCCAUCGGCAACUUGAUUAUUCUUCCCGGGAACAUACCUAAAAAACCACAAUCUUCCAUUUUUCAAUAUAUGUUUGGUUCUUCUAACCAAGACUAAAUUUGCAUCCGUUGAUUGCCUAUCUUCAAUGACUUUAAUCAUUUUCAUGUUAUCCGUAUGAAUCAACACUCUCUCAAAUCUUCAUUUGUUUAAAAUAGUUAACCAAUCUAGAAUCACAUCCCUUAAGUAAUGGUUAUAACCAAGAAUCUAAUCCCCAACCUAAUUUCACAACACUCUCCCGACCAAUUCAUAUUCCCCAAUUUCAUAUCUUAUUCAUCGAUUAAAUACAUCCAGCUACAAUUGAGUAAAUGAAUAUGCCACCUCAUAUAUUAAACUUAUGUUGUAUCAUUUAAUUGAGUUAAUCUCAUAAAGUUAACAACUUUUUAUCAACUAUUACCAAAAAUAUGAUCUUGUUAAUUUAUCUACCUACAAGGAUCUUUAUGUUUAUUUUUAAAAGUAUAAAAACUAAAUGCAUUCUUCAUUAUGGUACAGGGACCGAUAUAGUAUUUUUACCAAUAAUUCCCUAAUGGAAAAUUGGAAAUUUGCUUGGUAGUAUAUUAAUAAAAUCAAAAAAAAAAAAAGUCAUUUGUGAAUCCAAGGCUUGGUUCAGAAUCGAAUCUCAACAUUGUAUCUCCAUAUUUUUAUUUUUAUUUCUUUGUCCCCCGAUUUAUUUGCAUUUUAGCAUUUGCAGGGACUUCCAUUUUUCAAAUAAUUGUUGGAAACUGAAAAUUGGAUCAAUUAAACUACUAAUAUAUCCUUCUUUCCUUGAUAGUUGAUCCCAAAGCAAAGAUGCUUUUCAACCAAGGUUGACUGCGCUAAAUGUUUUUAAGUUUUAAAAUAUUAUAGUUGAGUCCUUAAAAUAUUAGUAUUACAUCAAUUACGUCCUUAUGCCAAUUUAGCUUAUCAGCAUGGGUUGCAAGGGCAACAUUAGAGGAGGACAAGCAGGGCCAUGGUCCCUCCAAAGUGAAAAAUUGCUCUUUUAUUUCCUUUAAAAACAAUAAAAUUUUAAAUUAAUUUAAUUGUAAAAUUUUAUGACCCUUCUAAAAUUUAAAAUUGAAUUGUUUAUAGUUUAAUUUCUCAAGAUAUUGUAAAAUUUUAUGUUUAUAUAGUGAUAAAUUUACAUUUUAGCUCUCUCAACAAUAUAUAAUCCAAAUUCGGCCCUCCCCCUGGAAAUUAUUUCUAGCUUCGUCAUUGCUUGGUCAAAUUAUAAACAUAUGUUUAACAUCAUCUUUGGUAUGACGUGUAACAAAAAAAAAAGCCCUCUUAAAUUUUAAUGUUAUUUUUUAAAAUACGUCAAAUAUGAACCGAUAUUGAUGGUUAAACCGGCGAAAAGACCUAAUUAAUAUAAUACUAGCAUUUUGAAGAUUAGGUUAAAACAUUUUGAAAUGUAGGACCAAUUUAAAAUCUCAAGAUAAAUUGGGGGAUAGUUUAGUGAAUUGAACAAUUUCGACUAUUCCAAGUUUGCUUUGGUGGUUGGAGCAGGCAGUCCGCAGUAGCAUCUUUGGUUUCAUCAACUGCAAAAUUUGUUGACUAUAUUUAAUUUGUUUGGAAAAUUAAACGCCCACUUUUUACAAGGAGAUUUAUUUAACAGCUAGUCAUAUAUUUGCUUGGUAGCGUAGAAAAUAGGAAACUACAACUUCAUUUUUAUUUUUCAAUUUUAUUCUAAAAUUAUUGACACGUUUGAUUAACUGUAAAAGAAUAGGAUUGUAAUCGGUAAUUCAAUUAUUUGGUUGAAUGAAAUGGAAUAAUAUUCUUGCGUUAGGUUAAUUGGAAUGAAAUAGUAUUCUUGUGUUUGGUUGAAUGGAAUAAAUAUUGUAAUAGCAUAAGAAAAAAUACUGAAAUAAUCAGAGUACCCUUAGCAGAAUUUUUGUAAGGUAGAUAAUUAUGGUUUUUGUUAUUAAAUUUUAAUAGCAUUAUUAUUAAAUAUAAUUUAAUAAUAUUCUUAAUGUAAUACCCAAUUUUAGCCCGGGCUCGCAUAUGGAAACAUAAUUUUUGAGGAUAUGCAAUCUUAGAUAUGAUAUGCAAUCUUAGAUAUGAUAUAUAAUCUUAGAUAUGAUAUGCAAUCUUAGAAUAUAUGAUUUUGUAAUCUUAGAGAUUUAAUUUGUAGAUACCCUUUAAUCUCAGCCGUUGAUGUAAUUGAUCUGUACCGUUGGAUUUGAGGAGGCUCAACUAUAAAUAGAGGUCUCUCCCUUCAUUGUUGAAAGGGAGGAGGAGGAAGAGGAAUAAAAAAAAGAACGAUUGGCAGUUUUUUAAAGGUGGCUUACUAUUUUUUUUCUUCCGAUUAUUUUUUUUACUUAUUUACGAUUUUAAAAAGGGGGAGAAGGUGAUACCACUGCGAAUUUUAUUUAUUUAUUUUAUUUAGCCCCUCCGCCUUUUAAUGUUUUUGUAAUUAAGUUUUUUUUAUUUUUAUUUUUCUUAAUUUACCCUUUUAUUUAUUUUUAUUUCAAUUGGGUCUAAGUUGAACGGCGUUGUUUUAAAGGAGAAGGGAAAAUUUCCCUUCCAGCCCCUCUAUAUAAUUCGUGCGUUCAAAUUAAUCCUUUUACUUUUAUUUAUUUACAGAUUUACCCCUAUUUUUUUACUUCCGACCCAAUUUAGUCCUUUCUCAUAUUUUUCUUAAAAUCAGUAUUUCUAAUUUUUUUUAUGAAAUUAUUAUUAUAUGUAUAUAUAUAAAUAUGUUUCUUUUGCAUGUAUUUACACCUUAAAAAAAACUAAUAUUUUUCGUAUAUUUUAGACACAUAUUUUAUUAAUUUUGAUAUUAUCUUAAUUAUUUUAAACUUAUAUAUUUUCAUGGAUGUAUGUAUAUAUAUAUUUUUUAUUUCAGUUAUUUGUCUAUUAAUUUAUGUUUACAUAUAUUUUUUAUUAUCUUGUCCAUUUAUUUGAUAUUUUGCAGGCCAUUAUUUUACUUAUUUGUUCAUAUAUUUGCAUUAUUUCUAUGCUAUCGUAGUAUUUAUUAUUGCAUUAUAUAUUUAAUGUAGCAUAACAUUACAUUUUUUACUCGAUUUUUAAAAUCAAACUUUUUCAAAAUGGAUAUUCUUUUAAUUAAAAUAAAAACUCAUUAUUGGGAAUUCAACACGUUGUGUCCUAACGUAUUGGAUGUGACGCAUUGAUUUCUCGAAAUGAAGAUUUUUUUUAAAAAUCAUGAAGGAAAUAUUCCGAGUUUGAGAUUCUAAAGGAAUUGUGCCCUAACGUAUUGGGUGUGAUUUCUUAAAUCUUGGAUAAGUGGAUGUUCUUUUAAAGUAAAUGAAAUAUUCCGAGUUUGAGAUUCUAAAGGGAUCGUGCCCUAACGUAUUGGGUGUGAUUUCUUAAAUCUUGGAUGAGUGGAUGUUCUUUUAAAGUUUUAUUGUAUAAGUAUUCUGAUCUAAUUCAUUUUGGGGGAAAUUAGAAUGUUGUGCCCUAACGUAUUGGGUGUGGCAUUUUUGCUUCUCUAAAUUGAAAAGGGUCUUAAUAUGCAACGUUUUAAGUUUUUAAAGAUUAUAUUUUUAAAAUUUUCGACCUUAAGACAUUAAUUAAUUAACUAGGUACCAAUUUUUGGGCGUAAUGAGGGUGCUAAUCCUUCCUCAUGCGUAACCGACUCCCGGACCCGUUAUUCUAAAAUUCGUAUACCAAAGUCGUUUUUAGGUGACCCAAUCACACCUUAAUAAAAGAUUGGUGGCGACUCCCAACUUUCAUUUUCUUUUUUUUUAAGUCGACAACCUAAAAUUUUUUGUUUUAAAAAAAAAAUGGUUUCGACAGCUUGGCGACUCCGCUGGGGAAUUUUUUAAGAGAGUCGAGCCACAAAGUUGAUUAAUUUUUAUCUUAUGGUCGAGAAAAUAUUUUUAAAAAAACUCAUGACAUCCUUUUGCAUUCAUUAUCUUCUUGUUUAAAUAUUGUUUGCAUUAUACAUUUAAUGAGUUGAACAAUGUUACCCUUUUAAAUGGGAGUGAGAAACUAUACCUUCGUGAGGUUUUACCUCCGUGUAGGGUAGUGGAUUGCUUUCGGGAUACAUCCGUACCUAUGUCUUCGUGAGAUUUUUCAUCUCCGUGCAGCCAUAGGGAAAUGUAUUCCCCUGAAUUGAACUCGAUCCAUAUGAGCCUAUAAUGGGUGAGGAUUGGGGAAUCUGCUGGUUCGGGUACCUUUACUCUAGAAGCCAAACUUCAUAUAAUGAACCUUAGGAAUCCACCCUAGGUAGAAUUAUACUAUACCCUAGUAGAUAUCCAAUUAGGGAUCUUUACUAUUUCUUGAUUAUAUCUUGUGUUUCUAUGUUAUACUAACUUUUGGUGUUUUAUUUGCAUGACAUGGCAUUUCAUUUCACGCAUUGCAUUAAUAAAUAUAUCAAGGGAUUCUAAUUAAUCUAAAUUACUCAUCAGUUAAUUUGGAAACCAAUCAAGCUAUCAAACACUGCUACGAAACUCGAUCCAAAACUAGAGACAUGGACCAAAGGCUAGAACAAUUCCAGAAAGAAAUGCAAGAGCAAAUGAAUGAGCAAUUAGAAAAGAUUCAACAAAAGAUGAUGGAAAAGAUAAUGGGAUCUCAAGGGAGUAUGAUGGCUAAGUUGACUCAGUUAUUGGCUGGAGGAGUUGACAAAGGAAAGGGAUUGGUGCUCAACAAUGAAGAAUGUGACAAUGAGGGACUUGUCUAUCCUCCGGACUUUACACCCCAACAAGUUGAGAUAUACCCGCGUAGGUCCUUUGUUACCAUUAAUCCUCCGGGUGAUGCUGCAACGCAAAUGAAUUUCCAGAUGGGAUCAGGCUCUAACCCCGGUGCCAAUUUUGUUAAUCCUGCUAUUCCUGAUUUUGAUGAGACGGUUGGAAAGGAAAAAAUGAAUGAGGAACUAUCAAAACAGCUUGAGGAAAGGUAUAAAUGGUUGGAGGAAAAACUUAAAGUGAUAGAAGGUACUGAGAGCUACCACGGAAUUGAUGCUAGAGAAUUGAGCUUGGUUCCAGGUUUGGUACUUCCUCACAAGUUCAAAACACUAGAGUUCGAGAAGUAUAAUGGAACCAGUGGCCCCGAAGCACAUAUUACUAUGUUCUACAGGAGGAUGACUAGAUAUGUUAAUAAUGACCAGUUGUUGAUACAUUACUUCCAGGAUAGCCUCACGGGGGCAGUAUCCAGGUGGUACAAUCGAUUGAACCGUACCCAAAUUAAUUCAUGGAGAGAUCUAGCACAGGCAUUCUUGAAACAGUACAGCCAUGUGACUGACAUGGUACCUGAUAGAAUUACUCUGCAGAACAUGGAGAAGAAGCCUGGUGAAAGUUUCAGGCAGUACGCACAGAGAUGGAGGGAGGUUGCUGUCCAAGUUCAGCCAUCUCUUCUAGAAAGAGAGAUGACGAUGCUUUUCAUUAAUACAUUGAAAGCCCCAUUCAUCACACAUAUGUUAGGGAGUGCAACAAAAAGCUUUUCUAACAUAAUCAUGAAUGGUGAAAUGAUUGAAAGCGCCAUAAGGAGCGGAAAGAUUGAUACUGGAGGAAAUAACAGAAGGCAAGCCUCAAAAGAAAAGGGAAAUGAGGUAAACAGCGUGAAUACGUACGACAAAUCGAUUGCUAAUCAACAGGGUUCAUCAAGACAAGAAUUAGGUGUGAAGCCAGGUACUGAAAAGCUCCAGUUCACGCCAAUUCCAAUGUCGUACAAGGAGUUGUAUCAAAGCUUAUUCAAUGCGCAUGUUGUUGCUCCUUUACAUGUGAAGCCUCCACAGCCCCCGUAUCCCAAAUGGUAUGAUGCAAGUGCACAAUGUGAUUAUCAUGCAGGAAUUACGGGGCAUUCCAUAGAAAAUUGCAUUACCUUCAAAAAGCUAGUUGAAAAUUUUAUCAACAUGGGUAUUGUCAAGAUAGAUGGUUCAUCUAGUACCCAGUCAUGAUUGAAUAUGAAGGGGUGUCGAGAAGUGUUCACGAUGAAACAACUGAAGAAGAGACCUUGUCAGAUUUUUGCCCUUAUAGACUUAGGAGUGUUUUAAAUAAUUUGACUGCAGAAGAAGCCCCUGUAGUAUUUAGAGAUUACUCAGAGUAAUGUUCAAAACACACUUGUUGCCUUCAGCCUAGAGGCAAUAAGAAUUCCUUUAUGAAAUAGGCUCAUGUCUGAACGUCGUUAAUUUAAUAAAAUACAUCUUUGCAUUUAUUUUUUUAAGCCAAUAUUCUUUUCGAAUAAUUAUACUUUCAUUCUUUCGGAUCUUCUUCCAUAUUAUCAUUUUAUUCAUCCGUAAUUGUACAAAUGAUUAUUCAUACAUUCUUUUGUAUAUUCUUUGGUAUUUACUGUGGGUCCCCAGAUAUCAAUGACAUGAGUGAUGCUGUUACGGACGGAGAAGUUCCUUUUGAGUGGGAUUUGUGUUUAGAGGGAUCUCAUUACUUUAAAGAUGACACAGAUUGUAUCAUAUUUUCAGACUUGCUGAGGAUGGUAGAACAGGAAUGAAAUCUUACUUCAUGAGGGGAGAAUGGAGAUUGUGACUUUAAGAUUGCGUGCUUAACCGAAGAAAUGAAGUAUAACCUUGUUGAGUUACUUCAAAGAGUUCAAAGAUGUCUUCAUAUGGUCAUAUCAGGAUAUGCUUGAGUAAACACCGACAUUGUAAUUGGAACAACAAUACGAUAUCAAGAAUUUACAGUAUGUUCAAGAUUAACAUCAUGAACGAUGCAUUUAGAAUUCUUUGUCGAGGCAAUGCCUUCUCCUUUGGCUCAUCAUGGUUUAGCAUGUCGAAGUCAAGUUGCCAUUUCUCCGUUGUUGGAUUUCAUCCUAAUUGAAGAGGAAGAUCCAAAGUUUUUGUCAUAAUUAAAUUUUGCCCCAAAAGGCUCUAUGAAAGAGAUUUGAUCACAAAGAAGAUCUUACAUUGGUGCUGAUCGAAAGGGAUAACGAGAACUUAUCCAAUCCUAUGAGUUCAGAUUCAAAAAAAAAACAAAAAACAAAAACAAAAACAAAAAAUGAAAGUGAAAGUGAAAGAAAAAAGAAAAGAAAAUGGAGAUGCCAAAGUGAAAACCCGCAAAAGGCACUUUGAGACCAAAGGGGAUUUGAGUUGAAAACCCGAAAAGGGCGGCUCAAAUAUUGAUCAGAAUGGGGCACGAGGUGAUUAGAGCAACUCAAAGUUUAACCAGAUUGGGGCAUGUGGUGAUCUUGUUAUACCUGAAUUAUCAGGAAAAGGUAGGCAACAUCUUGGGGCAUUGGCAGAGUACUGUGGAUCACCUAAACACAUGUCAAACUCAGAAGGAUCUUUAAAAAGUUUGUACAGAGAAGUUCAAGAUGCGAUAUCUGGGGCACCCAAUAUUCAUACUAAAUUUUUUAUUCUUGGAAUACUUCAUUCUUUUCCAAGAUACACAUUCCCAAUCAAUUUCUUUGCUAUCAUUGUUUACUAUUUUUGAUAAUCUAUUCCUUUCGAGCUAUGCUCAGAACCAAUUGUAUUCUCAUCCAUUGUUAUACCCUUUUUGCAAGCAUGUUGCAUUAGAAUAAUGAUUAAUGGACUAAUGAAACUUUCACGAAGGAGGUUUUGCAUAUUACUCUAGGAGUUUCUAAAUAAUACAAUUGCCUGAAACAGGAUUAUUAUUUAGAACGCACCGGGUUUAAAGGUUGGAAAUCUGAAAAGGAACAGUCUAAACUAGGACUUUCUCUUUGGAUUUUGCUGUCAAAAACAUUGGAUGUCGUGUUGAUGACAAAGCCUAAAUCAAACAAGCAAGUAAUGAUCACCAAGAGGUUACCUCGGGGAAGAGAGCCUUUAUUUGCGCAUGAGCCUUUGGUACGAUACCCUGGGAAUGGUGUAAAGGACCAUAAAGAUUUAGAUCAUGUAUCAUUGAAUUGUGAUAGGAAAGGAUUGAGGAAAGCCACGUAUUUUAGUGGGAGAACGAUGGUAUGAAUUUUUGCGCCCUAAUGGAUUAAACUUGGAGGGCAACCUGACUAAAGGUUUCUUCAGAAAAGCCAGUCAAGUAAAAAGGCGUUGUAGCACGUUAGUCACAAAGCCUUAAUAAACUUCGAGUAAUGACAACCUAAGCGGGAUCAUUCUCGGAAAAAUAAAAUUUUGCAUUCAUGCAUUUGAUGCAUUUUGAUCAUGCCAUUCUAAUCAUUAGGCAUAAUUAAGUUCAUUAUACAGGUCAUGCUCCCCAGAGAACAGAUCAGUGAAAGAGCAGAUCUUGUCUUCCUACAUCGACAGCGAAGCAGAUCGAAAACAAAACCUUGCCUUCCUCGUUUGUAGUCGAGCAGAUCGAAGAUGACGGAUUUUACCUCCCUGUGGUUAUAGUGGAGUACAUUGAAGCCAGUAAUUCUACUUCCCUGGGUAGCAGUGGAAUAGAUUGAAGAUUUCAGAUCUUAUCUCCCUAAGCAGUAGUGGAGUAGAUCGAAGAUGGCGGAUUUUACCUCUCUGUGGUUACAGUGGAGUACAUUGAAGCCAGUAAUUCUACUUCCCUGGGCAGCAGUGGAAUAGAUUAAAGAUAGCAGAUCUUACCUUCCUGCAUUGACAGCGAAGCAGAUCGAAGAUGGCGGAUUUUACCUCCCUGUGGUUAUAGUGGAGUACAUUGAAGCCAAUAAUUCUACUUCCCUGGGCAGCAGUGGAAUAGAUUGAAGAUUUCAGAUCUUAUCUCCCUAAGCAGUAGUGGAGCAGAUCGAAGAUGGCAGAUUUUACCUCCUUGUGGUUAUAGUGGAGUACAUUAAAGCCAGUAAUUCUACUUCCCUGGGCAACAGUGGAAUAGAUUGAAGAUUUCAGAUCUUAUCUCCCUAAGCAGUAGUGGAGCAGAUCGAAGAUGACGGAUUUUACCUCCAUGUGGUUAUAGUGGAGUACAUUGAAGCCAGUAAUUCUACUUCCCUGGGUAGCAGUGGAAUAGAUUGAAGAUUUCAGAUAUUAUCUCCCUAAGCAGUAGUGGAGCAGAUUGAAGAUUGCGGAUUUUACCUCCCUGUGGUUACAGUGGAGUACAUUGAAGCUAGUAAUUCUACUUCCCUAGGCAAUAGUGGAAUAGAUUGAAGAUUUCAGAUCUUAUCUCCCUAAGCAGUAGUGGAGUAGAUCGAAUAUGGUGGAUUUUACCUCCCUGUGGUUACAGUGGAGUAUAUUGAAGUCAGUAAUUCUAUCUCCCUGGUCAGCAGUGGAAUAGGUUGAAGAUUGUAAGUCUUAUCUCCCUACAGUUGCAGUGGAAUAGAUUGAAGCACUAGCUCCUAUACUUCUGAAGAUGCAGUAGGAAGGAAUGAGGCUACUUGAAGAAGAAGAGUUUCAUGUUCCAGCAAGACCGGACAAAAUUGGGCAUUUUUAAAGUCUUUGCUCCGUUCCUGUUACACGACAACGAGCAAAUAGGGGCAGCUGUAAUACCCAAUUUUAGCCCGGGCUCGCAUAUGGAAACAUAAUUUUUGAGGAUAUGCAAUCCUAGAUAUGAUAUGCAAUCCUAGAUAUGAUAUGCAAUCUUAGAUAUGAUAUAUAAUCUUAGAUAUGAUAUGUAAUCUUAGAAUAUAUGAUUUUGUAAUCUUAGAGAUUUAAUUUGUAGAUACCCUUUAAUCUCAGCCGUUGAUGUAAUUGAUCUGUACCGUUGGAUUUGAGGAGGCUCAACUAUAAAUAGAGGCCUCUCCCUUCAUUGUUGAAAGGGAGUAGGAGGAAGAGGAAUAAAAAAGAGAACGAUUGGCAGUUUUUUAAAGGUGGCUUACUAUUUUUUUUCUUCCGAUUAUUUUUUUUACUUAUUUACGAUUUUAAAAAGGGGGAGAAGGUGAUACCACUGCGAAUUUUAUUUAUUUAUUUUAUUUAGCCCCUUCGCCUUUUAAUGUUUUUGUAAUUAAGUUUUUUUAUUUUUAUUUUUCUUAAUUUACCCUUUUAUUUAUUUUUAUUUCAAUUGGGUCUAAGUUGAACGGCGUUGUUUUAGAAGAGAAGGGAAAAUUUCCCUUCCAGCCCCUCUAUGUAAUUCGCGCGUUCAAAUUAAUCCUUUUACUUUUAUUUAUUUGCGGAUUUACCCCUAUUUUUUUACUUCUGACCCAAUUUAGUCCUUUCUCAUAUUUUUCUUAAAAUCAGUAUUUCUAAUUUUUUUUAUGAAAUUAUUAUUAUAUGUAUAUAUAUAAAUAUGUUUCUUUUGCAUGUAUUUACACCUUAAAAAAAACUAAUAUUUUUCGUAUAUUUUAGACACAUGUUUUAUUAAUUUUGAUAUUAUGUUAAUUAUUUUAAACUUAUAUAUUUUCAUGGAUGUAUGUAUAUAUAUUUUUAUUUAUUUCAGUUAUUUGUCUAUUAAUUUAUGUUUACAUAUAUUUUUUUAUUAUCUUGUCCAUUUAUUUGAUAUUUUGCAGGCCAUUAUUUUACUUAUUUGUUCAUAUAUUUGCAUUAUUUCUAUGCUAUCGUAGUAUUUAUUAUUGCAUUAUAUAUUUAAUGUAGCAUAACAUUACAUUUUUUACUCGAUUUUUAAAAUCAAACUUUUUCAAAAUGGAUAUUCUUUUAAUUAAAAUAAAAACUCAUUAUUGGGAAUUCAACACGUUGUGUCCUAACGUAUUGGAUGUGACGCAUUGAUUUCUCGAAAUGAAGAUUUUUGUUAAAAAUCAUGAAGGAAAUAUUCCGAAUUUGAGAUUCUAAAGGAAUUGUGCCCUGACGUAUUGGGUGUGAUUUCUUAAAUCUUGGAUAAGUGGAUGUUCUUUUAAAGUAAAGGAAAUAUUCCGAGUUUGGGAUUCUAAAGGGAUCGUGCCCUAACGUAUUGGGUGUGAUUUCUUAAAUCUUGGAUGAGUGGAUGUUCUUUUAAAGUUUUAUUGUAUAAGUAUUCUGAUCUAAUUCAUUUUGGGGGAAAUUAGAAUGUUGUGCCCUAACGUAUUGGGUGUGGCAUUUUUGCUUCUCUAAAUUGAAAAGGGUCUUAAUAUGCAACGUUUUAAGUUUUUAAAGAUUAUAUUUUUUAAAUUUUCGACCUUAAGACAUUAAUUAAUUAACUAGGUACCAAUUUUUGGGCGUAAUGAGGGUGCUAAUCCUUCCUCAUGUGUAACCGACUCCUGGACCCGUUAUUCUAAAAUUCGUAGACUAAAGUCGUUUUUAGGUGACCCAAUCACACCUUAAUAAAAGAUUGGUGGCGACUCCCAACUUUCAUUUUCUUUUUUUUAAGUCGACAACCUAAAAUUUUUUGUUUUCAAAAAAAAAUGGUUUCGACACUUAAUAUGAUUAUUUUUAUAUUAAAUUAUUUUAAAUAUUUUAUUUUUAUAUUUUUUGAGUCCAAGUUUUAAUUAUUAACGUUUAUAUUUUUUUGUUAAUAUAACUUUUUUUAAUUAAAUUUAGCUCUUAAGUUAAAUUUAAUUAUUAAUCUUUUAAAAAAGAGUUAAAUUAAUUUUUUAAUAAAAAUUUUAAAUUUUAAAUACGGCAACUUUCGUAGUAGUCAAAGAGCAUUUCAUGCUUCUUUUUAAUUUUUAUGAAAGUUUUAUAAUAUUUUUGAGUUGAGUUUUUUUUUUGAAUUUUUUAUAAUUUUAAAUUAUUUAUUGGCGUGGUAUAUAAGAUAACUAUUGUCAUGUCAGAUUGUUCACAUGGAUUGGCACGCGGAUUGUCGUCUCAAUUUCAUUAAAAAUUUAAUGUUUUAGUCAACGUAAUUUUAAAGAAAAGUAAUUUAACUCUUUUUAAAGGUUUAAUGCUCAAAUUUAGUUAAAAAAAGUAAGAGUUGAAUUGACAAAAAAUACAAAUAUUGAGGACUAAAUUCGUUAUUAUGCUUUUUUUUAACCAAAGAAUCCUUAUUCAGGGUCAAUAGAAAUGAGAGUUUAGAACUAUUAAUGGGUUGGUUCAGGUUCCAAUUUUUUUUACUGUUGGCAAAUUUAUAAAAUAUUUUAUAUUAAUAUUUAAAAAAUUUUAUAAUAAAUUAAAUUUAAAAAAUAUUUUUUAUUUAAAUUAAAUUUAGGUUAAAUCAAGUUGGCUUGAAAAAUAAAAAUCUACGUUUAAGUCCGAAUCUAGUCAUGUCAGGCCUAUCGGAUUGGGUGAGCUUCCUGACCCAUAAAUAGGUCUAAUGAGAGUUAAUUAAGCUUCGUUCUCUCCAAAUUUUUGAAAAAGAUUUUUAAAACUUAAUAUUUAAUUAAAUUUGCAUGUUGGUUUUAAGAUUUAUACCUUCAUAUAUAUAUGUUUUUUUUUUCAUGAUAAAAUGCCAUGAAAGGCAAGUAAUCUUUUAAGAUUAUUACAUAAAUCCCAUACGUUAAAAGUAAUAAAUUAUGUCAUUAAUUAUAUAUUAUCCAUUUAAAAAGAAAGGUCCUUUGGAUUUUCCUUGGUUCACACGUGAAUUGACUUUCUCUUUUCUUUUUUCUUUUUCUUUUUUGCCGUAUGUAGUAAAAUAGUCAAUUUUAAUAGAAGAUUUUAAUCACCUUAAUAAUUAGAUUUGAAAUUUUAAAUUUUAAAAAUCGAGUGAUUAAAUUUCUAAAAAUAAAAAUAUAAAGAUUAAAUUACAAAUAUACAAAUAGUACAAUAAUUUAACUAUAUUUUUAAUAUUUACUUUAUAAUUUAAUUGAAAAUACUUAAUAGUUAACCGAACAUGAAGUACGAUAAAAUAUGUAUUAGUUAGUAUUAAGGGUUUUUACUUAGACAAUAUAAAAAAAAUACGAAAAUGUGAUAUAUUGUAAAUUAUUUACGAAAAUAACAUAUUUUCUACCAUAAAAUUAUGUGUUUGUCAACCUGUCAGGCACAUCACCUAUAAAAUAUAAUAUUUUAAUAAAAUAAAUAAAAUAAUAAAUUAAAAACAAUACUUUAAUCUAAAAAAGGGCGACGCCAAAAGUCAUGCGAUACCCAUUUUUCUUAUUGACUUUUUACCCUUCUUUUUUAAUUUGGGUUGGUUGUGGUAUGAUUUUGAAUUUCAUACCUCUAUUUUAUGGAAAUUAGAAAUAAGUCUAUUUAUUUUAAUUUAUUAUAAUUUAAUCUUUGUAGGUUUUCGAAUUUGACUAACUUUUUUAAUUCGAAAACUUAAAAAGAUUAAAUUAUGAUAAAUUCAAAUAAUAGUUAAAAUCGAAAAUUUAGAUUAAAUUAUGAUAAAUUAAAAGAAAUGGACAAACUUCUAAUUUUCAUAAAAUAAAAGAUAUAAAAAAAUAUGCCACAAUCACCCUAAAUUAAAAAAAUGAAAAAAAUAGGAAAAGGAGUGCGGCCGGAUAUUUUGGGUCACCCCUUUUUUUAGAUUAAAUUAUUAAUUAUUAAAUUUAUUUUUAUUGAAAUAUUAUUUUUUAUAAGUAAUAAGAUAUUAUUCUCCUAGGUAAUUUACAUAUUUUCGUAAUUAAUUAAGUUUUAUUAAAGACACUUUUCCAGUGUAAGCCCAUUUCUUUAUUCAUGUGUUUACUCCUUGGAAGACAAGUUUCUGACUACAGAAUCCCCAAGUUGCUGACGACCAUGUUUUUGGUCUUUCUCUCCACCAAACGGCAUAUAAUAUGAAUGUGAGUCAGCAGCAUAAACCAUCGUUGAAAAAUGUUCAAUUCAGUUCUCAAACUAUGACUUGCAUUUCAAAUUCAUCUCCAAAGUCCAAAUUUUAAAAACUUGAAUCUACGUAUUAGAAAAAGUAAUUCUCUUAAAAUUUAUUGAUUUUCUUUUUAGAAACACAUUAAAUGUAAGCUAUUCAAUCUAUAGUUACAUAGGUUUUUACAAUUUGAUAAAAAUAUUUUAAAUAUAUCUUAUGUCAUGAAUAAAUAUUUAUUAUUUAAAGUGAUAACUACACAGGCAAAAGAAUCUUAUUGUGAUAAUCUGAGAACCCAGUAACUAUUUGAGGUAUGUGGAUCAAUUUGAAAUUUUAGCACUAAUUUAGGAAUAUUAGUUGAAAUUAAGUCCUUCGAUCUGUCCCCAGUUCCUGCUGAUUAGUAUUUUGUUAUUUGUGGAAAACUGACAAUAAAGUUAAAAACAGACUUUGAUAAUUGAUGCUAUAUUUUAUAUUUUCAGAGUCAAAAAUCACGUCUUUUCCCGAAGGCCACUCCAGUCUCCAACUUCCUUCUUUACAUCUUUUUCUGAGGUUCAGUGCCUUUCCCUUCUGCUCUCUCCGCUUCCAAUCUUGCUCUCCACGCAUUUCUCUUCUCCAAGUAUUUUUCUUGGUCUUUCUUUUUUAGUCUUAUUUAUAUAUAAACACAAAGCCUGAAGCCUUCAAACACUUGAAACCAAUCAAAUCUUUUAUCCGAACACACAAAACCCAAGUUUUUUCUUCAGCCAAAGCUCCAAAAAAGAUGGAACUUUUUGCUUCACAAUCAUCUUUACUACUGAGUUCAGCUACUAGUUUUGAUUUUCUACUAAAACCCAUUUUUCCUCAUGGGUUUUCUGCUUCAUUACACUUAGUUUUGUUGCUUUUAUUGUUAAUCUUAUGGAUGGUGAGCAGGAUUAAAAAAGUUAGUAGGGAAGGUUCAAAGGAACGACAGAUUUUAUGGUAUAAGCAAACAUUAGCUUGUUGUUUUGUUGUUUCAGUUUCCAAUGUUGUCUUGUGUUUGUUAAGUUAUUUUUAUUGGUAUACAAAUGGUUGGUCUGAGGAUAAGUUGGUGAGUCUUAUUGAUUAUGCAUUGAAAAUACUUGCUUGGGGUGCAACAUGUGUUUGCUUGCAAUGUCAAUUCUCCAAUCCUGGUGAACAAAAGAGGUUCCCUGUUGUGUUGAGAAUUUGGUGGGGUUUUUACUUUUCAAUUUCAUGUUAUUGUCUUGUUAUAGACAUUGUUCUCUUCAAAAAACAUGUUUCUUUCCCAACCCAGUAUUUAGUAUCUGAUGUCUUGUCUGUUGUUACUGGUUUGUUUCUAUGCAUUGUUGGGUUCUUUGUAAGAUAUGAGGGUGAAGAUAUCCUCCUUGAGGAACCCCUUUUAAGCGGAGAUUCUAGUGUUAGUAAUUGUGUAGAGUUGAGUAAGGAAAAAGGGGGUGAUACUGUAACCCCAUAUUCAAAUGCUAAUAUUUUCAGCGUUCUUACAUUUUCUUGGAUGGGGCCUCUCAUUGCUGCUGGCAAUAAGAAACCAUUAGACCUUGAGGAUGUUCCUCAGCUAGAUAGCCAUGAUAGUGUUAUUGGGGCUUUUCCAAAAUUUAAAAACAGGCUUGAAUCAGCUGAUAGUGAGGGGAAUGGUGUUACCUCACUUAAGCUGGUGAAGGCACUGUUCUUUUCAGCAUGGAAAGAUAUUCUUUGGACAGCUUUGUUUGCAUUUACUUACACGGUGGCUUCAUAUGUUGGCCCAUACCUCAUCGACACUUUUGUUCAGUAUCUGAAUGGGCAAAGGGAAUUUAAGGCUGAGGGGUAUCUUCUAGUUGCUGCUUUCUUUGUUGCCAAGCUAGUGGAGUGCUUGUCUCAGAGGCGCUGGUUCUUUAAGUUGCAACAAGUUGGACUUAGGCAGAGGGCUGUACUGGUAGCAAUGAUAUAUAACAAGGGGUUAACCCUUUCAUGCCAGUCGAAGCAGAGCCAUACCAGUGGGGAGAUCAUCAAUUUCAUGACUGUUGAUGCAGAAAGGGUGGGUGACUUUAGUUGGUACAUGCAUGAUCCAUGGAAGGUAGUUUUGCAAGUUGCUUUGGCCUUGUUGAUCUUGUAUAAGACCCUGGGGCUUGCAUCCAUUGCCGCUUUCGUUGCUACUGUACUUGUUAUGUUGGCGAAUAUUCCUUUGGGGAAAAUGCUGGAGAAGUUUCAGGAUAAGUUAAUGGAAUCAAAAGAUACAAGGAUGAAGGCAACAUCUGAAAUUUUGAGGAAUAUGAGGAUUCUUAAACUGCAAGGGUGGGAAAUGAAGUUCCUCUCCAGGAUUGUCGGGCUCAGGAGCGUCGAGGAAGGAUGGUUAAAACGAUUCGUUUAUACAAAUGCCAUGACUGCUUUCGUUUUCUGGGUUGCACCAUCCUUUGUGUCUGUAGCCACUUUUGGUGCUUGUAUGUUCUUAGGAGUCCCACUUGAGUCGGGGAAGAUCCUAUCUGCACUCGCAACAUUCAGGAUUCUUCAGGUGCCAAUCUACAACCUUCCUGACACAAUCUCAAUGAUAGUUCAAACAAAGGUGUCACUUGAUCGAAUUGCUGCCUUCCUCCGGCUCGAUGACUUGCAGCCUGAUGCUAUAGAGAAGCUACCCAGUGGUAGUUCCAAUACAGCGAUCGAGAUUGCUGAUGGGAACUUCUCUUGGGAUACGUCAUCCCCUACUGCAACACUAAAAGAUAUAAACUUCAAAGUUUCCCAUGGCAUGAGUGUUGCUGUUUGUGGUACGGUCGGCUCUGGCAAAUCAAGUUUACUUUCCUGUCUUUUGGGAGAGUUACCAAAGAUAUCAGGAACGCUUAAGUUGUGUGGUACAACAGCCUAUGUUGCCCAGUCACCUUGGAUACAAAGUGGCAAGAUUGUAGACAACAUAUUGUUCGGUAAGGAAAUGGACAGAGACAAGUAUGACAAAGUGCUUGAAGCUUGUACCCUCAAGAAGGAUCUUGAAAUUCUCUCUUUCGGUGAUCAGACGGUUAUAGGCGAGAGGGGAAUCAAUCUGAGUGGUGGACAAAAGCAAAGAAUACAGAUUGCUCGUGCUCUAUACCAAGAUGCCGAUAUCUAUCUGUUUGAUGAUCCUUUCAGCGCAGUGGAUGCUCAUACCGGAUCUCAUUUAUUUAAGGUAAUGUCUUCUUAAUGAUCAUAUGGCAUGCAUUUUAAGAGUCGCUAUAGUUAAUUUAGUUGAAAUAGUUAUGUAUGAGCUCUGAGUAUCUUGUUUACUCUUUUGAAUGGCAGGAGGUUUUACUAAAGAAUUUGAGAUCAAAAACAGUGAUUUAUGUCACUCAUCAAGUUGAGUUUUUACCAGCUGCUGAUUUAAUUUUGGUAAGCUAUUAUUUACAUUAUUUUCAGUGAUUUUCAUCAUAUGUCUAAGAUUCAAGAAAUAAUUUACUAACUGGAUGCAACUUGUAUUUACAUAUUUGUUAGGUGAUGAAAGAUGGGAGGAUUGUUCAAGCUGGAAAUUAUAAUGAUAUUCUCAAUUCAGGUACUGAUUUUAUGGAACUUGUGGGUGCACAUAAGAAAGCUUUGUCGGCCCUUGAUACUGUUGAAGCAAGUUCGGUUUCUGAACAAACUACCAGCGAAGGAGAAUGUGAUAUAGUUACUACUAAUGGGAAAGUGCAGAAACAAAAAAACCAAGAUAACCUGAGCUUUAAAGUAGAUGAUGUCGGACCAAAAGGACAGCUUGUUCAAGAAGAAGAACGAGAGAAAGGACAAGUCGGGUUUUCGGUCUACUGGAAGUACAUCACAACAGCAUAUGGAGGAGCUCUUGUGCCUUCAAUACUGCUUGCUCAGAUUCUCUUUCAGAUUUUUCAAAUAGGCAGCAACUAUUGGAUGGCUUGGGGAUCACCGGUGUCGGCAGACAUAAAGCCUCCUGUUGGGAGCUUUACACUAAUCAUGGUCUAUUUGGCUUUGGCCAUUGCAAGUGCCAUUUGUGUCUUUGCCAGAUCCAUACUUCUUCGUAUAGCUGGAUAUAAAACAGCCACUCUUCUCUUUAAAAAGAUGCAUCUUUGCAUUUUCCGCGCUCCUAUGUCUUUCUUCGAUUCUACACCGAGUGGAAGAAUCCUCAACAGAGUAAGCAUCUAAUGUUUUUCCUGUAUGGAUACGAAAGAUUCAAUUUAUCUUCAUGUUUGUUGGCAUUUUUCCCCUUGUUUUUGCGGUAUUGUAAACUUUUUUACUGCCUCUUAUAGGCUUCUACAGAUCAAAGUGCAGUAGAUAUGAACAUCCCGUAUCAAGUUGCCUCAUUUGCUUUCUCAGUUAUCCAGCUACUUGGAAUCAUUGCAGUCAUGUCUCAAGUUGCUUGGCAGAUCUUUGUCAUUUUUAUUCCAGUGAUUGCUACCUGCAUUUGGUAUCAGGUAACUCUUGCUGAAUUGUGGCUAAGCAAUGCAUGAAAUCAUGAACUUCUUACAAUGCAGCAACAUAUCUAAAAUCUUAAAUUUUCUACUUUGUAAAACUCAUUUAAUCAUUGCCUUAUUGCUGAACAAAGGAAUGCUCAUAAACUUGUAAUCUCGCAGCAAUAUUACAUAUCUUCUGCACGAGAACUUUCGCGGCUGGUUGGAGUAUACAAAGCUCCAGUGAUACAGAAUUUUGCUGAAACAAUUUUAGGAGCAACAACUAUAAGGAGCUUUGAUCAAGAGAAAAGGUUCCAAGACACAAACAUGGUGCUGACUGACUCGUAUUCUCGUCCAAAAUUCCAUGUUGCCGGUGCAAUGGAAUGGCUGUGCUUCCGCCUGGACUUACUGUCUUCUGUUACUUUUGCCUUCUCUUUAUUCUUUUUAAUCUCUAUACCGGAAGGAAUUAUCGAUCCUGGUAAGUAAAUGCAGAUUCAUAUUGGCAGCUUUAUUGACUACUAGAUAACAAAUGUUCUAGGAGAAUGACUAUGCAUUUUUCUUUUGUUUAGCUAUUGCCGGGUUAGCUGUGACGUAUGGACUCAAUCUAAAUAUGUUGCAAGCUUGGGUGGUGUGGAAUCUUUGCAAUAUGGAGAAUAAAAUUAUAUCUGUUGAGAGAAUACUUCAGUACUGUAGUAUUCCUAGUGAGCCUGCCCUUGUGGUGGAAACGAAUCGCCCAGACCAUUGUUGGCCGUACCAUGGAGAAGUUCAUAUUUGUGAUUUGCAGGUAAGGGCAGUGUUGUGUUGUUGUAUGAUUUUGUUUCUAAUGGAUUGGCCGUAUUAAAUAAACAAUGAUGGUCUCAAUGUAGGUACGAUAUGCCCCGCACAUGCCACUCGUGUUGCGAGGUCUGACCUGCACAUUUCCUGGAGGGUUGAAAACCGGUAUCGUAGGGAGAACAGGCAGUGGUAAAUCAACUCUCAUACAAACACUUUUCCGGAUCGUUGAACCUGCAGCAGGACAGAUCAUAAUCGAUGGUGUAAACAUCUCAUCGAUCGGGUUGCAUGAUUUGCGUUCACGACUCAGCAUCAUCCCUCAAGAGCCUACCAUGUUUGAAGGGACUAUACGAAACAACUUGGACCCUCUUGAAGAAUACACAGAUGAACAGAUUUGGGAGGUAGGUUCAUUUUAGUUAAACACUGUCUGUUAUGAUCGGCAAUUGAAGUCUAACAUCAAUCAAUAUUGUGUUUUAAAGGCAUUGGAUAAAUGCCAACUUGGGGAUGGAGUUCGAAACAAGGCCAGCCGGCUCGAUUCUUCAGGUUCGAUCCUUCUAUCUUAUAACACACAUGAGUUUGUCUUCUUUUGCAUAAAUUAUACUUAGUAUGAUUAUUGUUGUGCAGUUAGUGAGAAUGGAGAGAAUUGGAGCGUGGGGCAAAGGCAGUUGGUGUGCCUUGGGCGUGUUCUAUUGAAGAAAAGUAAGAUCUUAGUGCUCGACGAAGCUACCGCAUCGGUGGAUACAGCCACCGACAACCUAAUACAGACGACGUUAAGGGAGCACUUCUCCGAUUGUACGGUCAUAACAAUCGCUCACCGAAUAACUUCGGUUCUUGAUAGCGACAUGGUUCUGCUUCUAAGUC